rnacentral:rRNA from 1 species
CAUGAACGCUAGCGGCAGGCUUAAUACAUGCAAGUCGAACGGGAUCCGAGGUAGCAAUACUUUGGUGAGAGUGGCGCACGGGUGCGUAACGCGUAUGCAACCUACCUUUAACAGGGGAAUAGCCCCGAGAAAUCGGGAUUAAUACUCCGUAACAUUGCGGGAUGGCAUCAUUCUGCAAUUAAAGAUUUAUCGGCUAAAGAUGGGCAUGCGUGACAUUAGCUUGUUGGUGAGGUAACGGCUCACCAAGGCAACGAUGUCUAGGGGUCCUGAGAGGGUUAUCCCCCCACACUGGUACUGAGACACGGACCAGACCUCCGUACGGGAGGCAGCAGUAAGGAAUAGUUGGUCAAGUGGGCGCAAGCCUAGAACCAGCCAUGCCGCGUGCAGGAAGA